GCGGAAGUGGCGAAACUGGCAGACGCACCAGCUUGAGGGGCUGGCGGUAGCAAUACCGUAGGGGUUCGAAUCCCCUCUUCCGCA
rnacentral:tRNA from 1 species